GCCUGGCUGGCUUAGUCAGUAGAACACGUGACUCUUGAUCUUGGGGUCGUGAGUUCAAGCCCCACGUUGGGUG
rnacentral:tRNA from 1 species